GAUAUAAUGAAACAACAUUGUGGCGAGGGAAGCAGUGUCGGAGCGCCGGACGGCGGCAGGAGCAUCGGCGCUGGAGGAGCGGGGCUGGCGGGCGCGCACGCACGGAGAAAGUUCUCGGAUGCGUCUGCAGCCCGAAGGGUCCGGCGUGGAUAGUGGAAAGGGAGAGGGCAGCCUGGGGGAGAUUGUGGCUCUCCCCCCCCGCUUUUUAUUCUCUCUCCGACCCCCCCCCCGCCUUCCUGCUCCAGAGCGAGAGGAAUUUUGCGCAAGCCUGCAUGGGAAUUGCACCUGCUCCUGCCUAGCGCCCGCCUCGCCUUCUGUCGGGGAAAAGUGACCCGGCAAUGAGGGUCCGGGAAGACGAAGGCUCUUUCAGGCUUCUGGCUUGAUGUUAAGAACGUGGGGCCGUGGUUUUUUGUUUUGCUGUUGUUCCAUGUUAAUCUUCGCUUUGAGAAGAAGAGGAACGAGCGUUUGGAUCACGAACGUUCAAGGGCUGCUUUGUUGAACUUCUGUUGUUCCUCAUUCUAAGUUGCUGUCUCAUCAUGAGGAGGCAUUAUCAGCUCGCACUGAAGGAAAUCAUUUCAUCCCUGCAAGCAGAGAGCUCCUUGGCUGUUUCCUAGGCAACUACCUGCAGAAUCAUUAAAAAGGUGGUUGUAUGAGGCAACAGGUUAUGCUAACCUCCUCUCCCCUCCGCUUGAGAACUCUUCCACCUUUGACUACUAAAACUCAAAGAUCUGUCCCGGGGACUCAGAGAUCAAGGCCAUGUAGCCAAUUAUUGGCUGUAUAAUUGUGCAGAAUCUUAUGGGUCAUCAUGCCAGUUGGCCUUGCUGGAGCAGGAAUCUCUCCUUAACCAUCAUCAUUGGAAAAAAACUGUCCCCUGUGUCAUCUCCAGUGGUGGGGGUUAUUCUUUGAUAUUGGUCUGGGAAUGGCCUCAAUUCCACCAUUGUUUCUGCCUCAUCAUGGAUCAAAGCAAAUCUGAAACGGUUAGAACCUAAGAAGAACCUGGCUGCUGCAUCAGGCGACAGGCCCAUCUAGCCUAGCACUCUGUGGCCAACCAGUGUCCUAAUGGGAAGCCCACAAGCGAGAUCUGAAGGCAACAGCACUCUUCCCACCUACAGUUACCAGCAACUGGUAUUCAGUGGCAUCCUGCUUCCCACAGUUGAGUCAGAAAUACCCAUCAUGGCUAGCUGUUUCAAGUCAGAUGCUUCUCCAACCUGCCCUUACAGGUUUCCAGUGGUGGAUUCCACAGCCACACCUAGGCAAUAUUCUAGCGCUCCACAAGCCUUGCAUGUCAAAAGUUCCAAUGUCCAAACCAAAUAUUUUUUUUUGUGGCAAUUUGGGCCUGUUAUUUCUCAUCUGCAGUAGACGUGAUGAACAACUGAUCUCCACACUCUUUAAGGCAACCCUCUCAGGCUUGAUGUUUCCAAAUUCAGCAAUCCCAGCUCCUUUGAACUUCCCUCAUAAUGGCCUUUUGCUGUGGCUCCGGAGUGGAUGUCACCAUAUAUAUGCCUGUUGCCAUGGCUGACCAUAGUGAUGUGGUCAACAACACUGGGGCAGCUGGUGUGGUUUUUUUCUUUCAGCAAGUAACCUCUUGAAGCUUGUCAGAGAGACACCUACUGUUUGGAGUGUGAAUACGCACGACUCUAAUCCACCACUGUUGAGGAGAUACAGUUGAGGCCCAUCAUUUUCUACCACAGUGUAAACGAACAGAAAGCAGAGCCAGCAUGGCAGAUGCUCUUCCAGGAGCAUCAUCACCAAAGACUAAAAUGGCCUAAGACUCCUACUUUUCAUCUAAGCUAGAGCCUAUGUUUCCUGACCUGAACAUAUGAAAGAAUUGCCACGUGUCCAAAGUCUCAUUCAGUGACCACCGCAGAAGGGAGAAUUGGUUCUUAAUCUGACCGGUGGAAAGAAUAUUGAUCUGCUUCACGAGGCCAUUAAGAAUGAACACAAACAGGAUUGCGAAGUGUUUGAAAGAGAGUUACAUAACGUAAGCAGCAAGUACCAACAACAAGUGCAAACAUCUCCUUUGUGUAUCUUUUCCUACUGUAAGUUCUCUAGCCUUGAAGCCUGGCUGUAAAAGCUUCUCUUGCUGUUGACGCAGUUCCUUUAAAAAUAGGCAAAUGACUUCUUGUUUUUAGUUCCUUGUCUCAGUAUUUUUUUAUCUUUUUUUUUUUUUUUAAAGGGAGGGCCGUAUCCCAGCAUGGCUUUUCUCUCGCUUAAAUCCACCCAAGGCAGUGGGUGCUGUCUCUGCUCAGAACCUGCUCAGCUCGUAGGAGUGACGCUGGCUGUCCUUAACUUCCUGGUCGUGCUGCUCAGUCUGCACCAAGCAUACAGAAGGAACACUUGAAACGAUUUGUCAGGAAGUAUAUUCCCAUCUCCUUGUGGGGAUUGUCUUUCAAGGCUUCUUUCUUCCGCUCCCCCCAUGAUGAAGGAAGAACAUGAGUUUGACCAGGACUGCAGGCCUUUUAAGGCUCUCCUCCCGUACUGCUUAUGACCUGAACUUCGCUUUCGCUAUAAAGUGAACAUGCAAAUUACCCCCCUGGACGUGGUGUGGGCAGCAGCCUGGAACCUUCUGUCAUUUGGAUUACGUGAUUUUUGUUGGCUGGGUCUUCUCUUCGUUAACAGUGCAAAUUGUCAAGCGCGUCUCACGGAUGCAUCUUUUGUUUCUUCAAGAACUGAGCAGAUUCGGAAGCCAUCCACGAGGACUGCCAGCACGAGAGAGGAGGCUGCUGCGUGUAUAUGUAUACCAUUUGGUGCCUGAGAAGAAAUUGACUCUCAGCCUUCGUUGUGGUAAAGACUGAGGUCCCAGUCACUUGGACAGAACAGUGCCAAGAUCACAAGCACACCUGAAAGUGAAGCCUGUCCCCCUAAUCCAGAAUGCUGGCUUGAGGCUCCCACGCAGUACAGGCUUCAUUAUUGUUGAAAAUACCAGAAAAAGGUUGUCUUAAUACUUUACUGAAGAGUUUAAUUUUCCCCUGAUGAAGGCUUGACUACACAGGCUGAAACGCGUUGGGCUUUAACAUAUUUUAUACAGAAAUUUCUCUUUUUUAUAUACAAUAAAUUAUUGGUGCCACUGUGCACAGAAUAAAGCCACAUCUUUCCAGCAUUCUGGUUUUUGACCUCCUUUUUGUGCUUCCAGUGAAUGCUUCACACUUUUU